AACGAACGCUGGCGGCAUGCCUAACACAUGCAAGUCGAACGAACCCUUCGGGGUUAGUGGCGCACGGGUGCGUAACGCGUGGGAAUCUGCCCUUUGCUUCGGAAUAACAGUUAGAAAUGACUGCUAAUACCGGAUGAUGUCUUCGGACCAAAGAUUUAUCGGCAAGGGAUGAGCCCGCGUAGGAUUAGGUAGUUGGUGGGGUAAAGGCCUACCAAGCCGACGAUCCUUAGCUGGUCUGAGAGGAUGAUCAGCCACACUGGGACUGGGACACGGCCCAGACUCCUACGGGGGGCAGCAGUGGGGAAUAUUGGACAAUGGGCGCAAGCCUGAUCCAGCAAUGCCGCGUUAGUGAUGAAGGCCUUCGGGUCGUAAAGCUCUUUUACCAGGGAUGAUAAUGACAGUACCUGGAGAAUAAGCUCCGGCUAACUCCGUGCCAGCAGCCGCAGUAAGAC
rnacentral:rRNA from 1 species